GACGAACGCUGGCGGCGUGCUUAACACAUGCAAGUCGAACGGAAAGGCCCUGCUUUUGUGGGGUGCUCGAGUGGCGAACGGGUGAGUAACACGUGACUAACCUGCCCUUGACUUUGGGAUAACUUCAGGAAACUGGGGCUAAUACCGGAUAGGAGCUCCUGCUGCAUGGUGGGGGUUGGAAAGUUUCGGCGGUUGGGGAUGGACUCGCGGCUUAUCAGCUUGUUGGUGGGGUAGUGGCUUACCAAGGCUUUGACGGGUAGCCGGCCUGAGAGGGUGGCCGGCCACAUUGGGACUGAGAUAGGGCGCAGACUCCUACGGGAGGCAGCGGUGGGGAAUAUUGCACAAUGGGCGGAAGCCUGAUGCAGCAACGCCGCGGGCGGGAUGACGGCCUUCGGGUUGUGAACCGCUUUCGCCUGUGACGAAGCGGGAGUGACGGUAAUGGGUAAAGAAGCACCGGCUAACUACGUG
rnacentral:rRNA from 1 species